rnacentral:misc_RNA from 1 species
GAAAUGCGAUAAGUAGUGUGAAUUGCAGAAUUCAGUGAAUCAUCGAAUCUUUGAACGCACAUUGCGCCCUUUGGUAUUCCAAAGGGCAUGCCUGUUCGAGCGUCAUUUGUACCCUCAAGCUUUGCUUGGUGUUGGGCGUCUUGUCUCUAGCUUUGCUGGAGACUCGCCUUAAAGUAAUUGACAGCCGGCCUACUGGUUUCGGAGCGCAGCACAAGUCGCACUCUCUAUCAGCAAAGGUCUAGCAUCCAUUAAGCCUUUUUUCAACUUUUGACCUCGGAUCAGGUAGGGAUACCCGCUGAACUUAAGC